CCUACGGGAGGCAGCAGUGAGGAAUAUUGGUCAAUGGACGAGAGUCUGAACCAGCCAAGUCGCGUGAAGGAUGACUGCCCUAUGGGUUGUAAACUUCUUUUAUAUGGGAAUAAAAUGUUCCACGUGUGGGCUUUUGUAUGUACCAUAUGAAUAAGGAUCGGCUAACGCCGUGCCAGCAGCCGCGGUAAUACGGAGGAUCCGAGCGUUUUCCGGAUUUAUUGGGUUUAAAGGGGGCGUAGGUGGAUUGUUAAGUCAGUUGUGAAAGUUUGCGGCUCAACCGUAAAAUUGCAGUUGAAACUGGCAGUCUUGAGUACAGUAGAGGUGGGCGGAAUUCGUGGUGUAGCGGUGAAAUGCUUAGAUAUCACGAAGAAAUCCGAUUGCGAAGGCAGCUCACUGGACUGCAACUGACACUGAGGCUCGAAAGUGUGGGUAUCAAACAGGAUUAGAUACCCGAGUAGUC
rnacentral:rRNA from 1 species